AAGAGAAAACCUGCCACGGAGCCCGGGCUUCUCUGAUCCUCCCGCCAAACUUUGUCUCUCAUUUAGCUUUCUUUGUGUCUGAGGAUUUAGCAAAGGCCUCAGGAGUAUUUUUCACAGAUGACUACACUCAGCUUGCUGACACAUUCUCUGGAUUUACCAAGUGAAAUUGCACAGUGUCAGGAAUGAUUUGCCAAUGUCUUCAGAUUCAACAGAGUUGGAUUGCUGAGAAUAAAAUUACGGAUUUCUCCAUAAUGGACACACGCACUUUUUGUUUGUGCUGUUUCCUUUAGAAUGGACGAUGAGUCAAAAUUGUUCGUUUAUGCUUCUUCACAGAAGGAUCUUCUGUGUCGUAGGAGGUGGCCUGCAGCAAUCUGGACAUUCAGUGGUCCUCCUGUGAUUAAUAGGUGAACGGAUGAGCUAUUCUGAUAAGAACUGGGGAACUUUUGCCAUUCAAAAGCAAAUAGAAGAACUGGGAGAUUCCUCAACUUAGCUUUUCUUUUUUUUGGUUCUAAAGUGACUGCGAAUGGAGGUAGAAGAGAAGAAAAGCUUUCAAAAACAUCUUCCAUUAAGAAAAAUAUGUAUCUUCAUGAAGACCUAUCUGAGUAAAAUUACUAAAACAUAAUGGCUUUCUUGAAAUAGAAUGGAAUGAAAGGCAUAUUAGGGAGUAUGAAAGUAUGAAGAUUUUAUUAACAUACUUCUAGAAGUUUAUUAAAUAUCUGCACAGGAACUGUAAUUUGAGAUCAGUGGUGGAAAGAGAAUAAAGGAAUCACGUGGACAUCAGCUCUGAGGCCUGUGGCCCCACUUGCUUCUGGGCUUUCUAUAGACAUUUGCUGGUGACCUGCCCAGGCAGGCUAGAGUACCCUUCCUCAUUGCACCCUGUGUUCCCAUCCUCUUUUCCUUCCUUCCUUCCUUCCUUCCUUCCUUCCUUCCUUUCUUCCUCCAUCCCUUAUGAAACCCUCGUUGUGCAGUUACUUAUUAGGUGCUGUGUGAGCGUCUGAAGUCUCCCCUCACCCACUUUUCCAUUUGGGCCACUUGGCCAGUGAUUGCAUCAGUACCAGGGUUCUAGGAGCCAUGCAGGGAUCCCCAGUGGGCAGAGCUGGCCGUAGCAUUUGGAAAGGAAGAGAGAGAACUGGAGACAAUGCCUAGGAACAAAAGCAGAGUCCAGACCCAGGCAUCAAGUGCAAAUCCAAAGGCUCUGGAUGAGUCAGUUCCCAGCAAAGGGACACAAGUAGGCACAGAAGGAAGGACAGCAGAAAACACUGGUCCAGAGAGGGCCUGCAGAGCCAGAAGCGAUGACGCAUCCAAGGUUGUGUUUGACUUCUGCACUGCCUCUGCAACCUGUAAGCACAUCUGAGCCAGUUCAGAAAGUAGGAAAACCAAAGUAUAUCAGAAAUGGCCUCUUAUCAUCAAGGAGAUUUUGGUCUAGAUUGCUUAUUGCUCAGGAGAAAUCACCACUUUUUAAAAAGAUAUGCUGAGAUAGGGUUUAGUUGGGAUAGAAAAGGUUAUUAAACUACGGGACACCCUUCCUUUACAGAGUGUAAGCACUACUACCCCUUUUGUUUGUCUGUUUUUCUUAUUUUUCUCACAGAUGCAGUUCCUGCAUUAGUAUUGAUAAAUGUGUGGCUGCUCCACUUGGAGUGUUUUCAAAGCAUAAAUCACAGCAUUGAUGGUGCUGUGGUUUGGCUCUUCCAGCCCUCUUAACAACGGUCUGAUGGACUUGGCGAGAGUCUAGCCACGUGUUCUGGCCUCUGUCACUCUCAUGGCUGAAACGCAUGCACACCCACAGAUGGGGGCCCCGUGGUAGAGAUGUGCCUCUACUUGUCAAAUAGACUGACUCCAAAUUCGGAAAUAUGCCUCAGGAAUCUAGAAAGAUAGAAAAGGAGUCUUCGUCACUGUAGGGUCUCAUUCACAAUAUGGAGGAGAGAUGGAGGGGAGUUUUUGGUAUAAAUUUUGCCUCAUAAAAAUUCUCCACGUUGUUUUGUACUGUAUGAGGGUAGCGAGAAAUUAGUUGAUGGUUAACAAUCAAGCUGGAGAAGAAUAUCCUCAAUUUUUCACAUGGAAAAUGAAAAACUACAACUCCUUCCAAAUAUAUGUAUGUUUCUUUUCUGAAGAUAGACGUGUGUGUGUUUGUGUGUAUCAUAUAACAUUUAUUUUUUGAUUUCUUUGUUAUCAACAGUAAAAAUACAGAAAAUGAUGCCAAAGAGAA
rnacentral:lncRNA from 1 species